rnacentral:ncRNA from 1 species
GUACAUGCGAUGAAGAAGGUAUAGUAAAAUACAGAAACUGUUUAUAGAGAACUGAUGGUUGGUGUAAAUCAGUACAGCCUGCUAUUUGAAAUGGAACUUUGGAGCAUAUUCCUUUAAGGAAUCGGUGUCACCGUUAUCGACAGAGUGAUUCAUCAUAAAGAAGAUGAAUAAGAAGGCUGGUACCACGCAUGCAUCAUGCGUCCUUAUU